CCUUCAUCUUGCCAGCUAAGCGUUCCACAUCUGAAAAUUCAAAAGAGAAAAACCCUUCGAAAAGCCACAAAACCAAUAUCUCUCUCGUAUUCUGCUUUUCCCCUUCUCUCUCCCAUUCUCAAUCUCAGAAACCCAAAAUGUUGUAAAACCUAACCUCUUUCAUUUCUGUAACAUUCUCGUCUCCCAUUUUUGUAACCUUUUCCCCAAAUUACUUGAUCCAGAAACCCUAAUUUCUGAAACGAAGAUCAGAUCCGGGGAAAAUUGGUAAUCAGAAUCAAUGGUGGGUGCAUCGAGCUCAUGGUCUCGCGCAUUGGUUCAGAUCUCACCCUCCACUUUCUCCGUCAUCGGUAUCGCCAUCGGCAUCGGCGUUUCCGUCUUAGGUGCCACUUGGGGAAUUUAUAUAACUGGAAGUAUUUUAAUUGGUGCCAUCAAAACUCCUCGGAUUACUUCAAAAAAUCUGAUUAGAUGAGUACUUCAACUUUCUUUCUUUCUUUUUUUCUCGCUGGUUUUAUGGAUCAUUGAUGUGGUAUUACAUUGACUGGCUUAUUAAUGAGAGGUAACUGACAACUUCCAUGUGUAAAAAAAAUUGAAUUAUGCCACCACUUGCUAGAUUGUCCGGGCAUAGGUUACAUGGUCGUAGGAUAAGCUGAUACGCCUAUUUACCAUCAAUAUCAAUGAGUGUCAAUUCUGAAAUCUUACUGAACAUACAUUUGGACAAAUCAAUAUCAAUAUUGCGGCCAAUAUUUCAGUAUGGUUCAUGUUGAUAUUCUAUAAUAUUAUUGGUAUUCCUCAUUUACUUUGAUGAACUGAAGAUUUUUGUGCUCAUUUCCUAUGCAAUACUUGCUUGUUUUGAGCUUAAUUUGAAGACUCAUUCAAGAUUGCUGCUAAAUUCACAAAGUAUCGGCAUUAUAGAAUUGUAAUAGACUUUAUUUUUAUUUUUUCAUUUGGAUUACAACCUGUUUGUUCCUUUGGAUUAUUCCAGCUGCUUCAAUGUGUUGGAAUUCAUUAAUAUUGAAACCCUAGUGUUUUUUAGCGGCCAUUUAUUUAUUUAUUUAUUUAUUUUUUGUCUCUUGCAUUGUAGAUAUGUGCCUAGUGGAGUGAAGGGAGGUUCUUAUUAUAAGUUUUUAUGCAUCUUUGAAAUUCUUGUUUUUCUUUGUCAUCCAAGAUGGGUACUUGUUGACUGUUCAAGUACUUGAUGUAUUAUCCUAUGGUAUGCACCCUCUUAGAAGGUAUAAGGUCUCUGAAAGGAAGAAAUAGAGUAAUGAAUAAUAUGCAUAAAGCUUCUGGUCAUAGCAGUUAUAACAGCUAUUGAAAUAGGUCUAGAACUGUAUUUCAAACUCUAAUUCCCUUUGUACUUCAUGUGAAGUUGAUGUUAAACAAUACAAUGCCUGUAAUUGGAAUAAUAAGAAUUUCUUAAUUUCUUUGGUUGUAUAGCCCCUAGUCGUGAUCUGAAGGGAAUAUGAUCACAAGUUAUUAUAAUCAGUUUCUGAUAAAAAUUGAGAUGUGGACAAAAGAAGUUAGAAAAAUAAAUAAUAAUAAUAUUAAAGUGGCUGAAUACCAAAGCAAGCUUAAAGUGGCUGAAUACCAAAAAUAUCAUGAAGAAGAAACAGAGGAAGAGAAAAUUAUUAAGAAUAAUUUGUUCACAGUAUUGUUUAGAAGAAGAGGGUGUAAAAAACCUUGUUGCUUUGCAAUAGUGGUAGGAGAUGGCCUUUUGAUGGAAUAACCAACUGUAAAUUACAAUGGGAUAUGGAAUAAUGGGGAUAUAACUAUUAGAGCAUAGUUAAAAAAUAGUGGAAUCAAAUCUAAAGAUAGUGAGGAUCAGAUGCAGUUAUAUUGUUGUAGUUAUCCUCUUAGUACUCAGAUAUAUUGCACUUUUUGUCUUUUGCCUUGUUGGACUCUUGGCUUCCUUGGACUCACAUUUUGCAAAGUUAUGUAUACAACAUUGAUUUCAAUUUUAUAAAAAAGUCAUUUAUAAAAAAGCCCCCCCUUCACUUGCUAAUGAUGGUCAGAUAUGAAUUGCCACCAAACUAGAGCUUGCAUGCAGUGAGUAGUGCGGUUAUUUGUUUUCCCUUAUGCCAACCUUGUUCCCACAUGUUUGAUAUAUGUCACUUCCCAAGUAAAGUUAUGAUUGUGGCUGAAAGUAGUUGACCACUUCUGGUAUUGUUGAGAGAACAAUAUAAAAGGAAAAAUAAAAGCCAAUAGGAGGAAUUUUUUUUUCUAGUCGCCUACAAUAGUUAUUUUAAUUGCAGAGUUGCAUCUAUGCAAUGUAGAUGUCCAUUUGUGGCUUGGGUGAGUUAAUGUCUUGGUACUUUUGCCUUUGUGUGUGCAUGGAAAAGCCUGGUGGAAAAUGAAAACACCAAAAAGAGGAUUUUUAUGUGUUGGAUGAGUCAUGUAUCAUGUUAAUAUGCUAGCGAAGUAGUUGCAUAAUAGGAGAUGAACACAUUGCGCUUAUCCAAGUUUUCUUCAAAGCAUAAGAAAAAACAAAAUGAAAAGGAAAGUAAUCCUCCACUUUGGAGAAUUGUAGAAUGUUUUUUGUGAACAAAAAUUAGACUUCUUUUGCUGCACUUUAUGCACAACGAUACUACAAAAUGCAGACCCCUUAAGAAAUGAUGGUUUUGACUUAUUUUUUUGGUCAUUUUCUCUUUUGGGGUGUUCAGUUCUUAGUGUCAUAUUCUGUGAGGUUGUUGCUAUAUAUGGAGUUAUUGUGGCAAUCAUUCUUCAAACAAAGCUAGAGAGUGUGCCUGCAUCCAAUAUUUAUGCACCAGAGUCCCUUAGAGUCGGAUAUGCAAUCUUUGCCUCUGGAAUUAUUAUGGGUUUUGCCAACCUUGUCUGUGGGUCGUUGGUUCAAAUGAUCUUUCUAUAUGUCGGUUCAUGCAGAAGGAGAUGGACCACAACAAUCAAUGAGCAACUGGAAGGGAGUUUUUAGCAUCUCAUCAUAUACACAAUAUUUCAAUAUGGAUAUAGAUGUUGUCCUGAACAGAUUAAUAAGCUCUUUGCAUCCCAUUGGUGGAGAUUUUUUCAGCAAGAUUGAUGCCAACCCUCAUUUGGCUUCCUCAUGUAAGGUGUAUGGUGUUGUCCCGCCCCCGCACCAGUUAUUGGUUGGUGUUCAGAGUUCUGGGAAUGAGCUAAAUGUAAAAACAAGUUCAAAUCCUUGUUUGACAUCAUCGGAUGGAAGCUCUACACCAACUCCAUUAGUUUCCUCUUUUGACUUUGUGAACAGUGAUUUAUCUUUUUAGUGUUUCUCAUGCGAUGCAUAUUUGGAUGCUCAAGCGAUUUUGUAACUCCACUUUGUUUAUGAAACUGCAUGUAUACUGAAAUUUGGCCAGGCCCCUCCAUUUCCAACCACAGAUAAUCAAGCAAAAGCUUCAACUUCAGGCAAUUAAGUUUCAA